UACAGAGGUCCCAAGCGUUGUUCGGAUUCAUUGGGCGUAAAGGGUGCGUAGGCGGCGCGGUAAGUCGGGUGUGAAAUCCCGGGGCUCAACCCCGGAACUGCAUUGGAUACUGCUCUGCUUGAGCACUGGAGAGGAGACUGGAAUUUACGGUGUAGCAGUGAAAUGCGUAGAUAUCGUAAGGAAGACCAGUGGCGAAGGCGAGUCUCUGGACAGUUGCUGACGCUGAGGCACGAAGGCCAGGGGAGCAAACGGG
rnacentral:rRNA from 1 species